rnacentral:rRNA from 1 species
AGAGCGAACGCUGGCGGCAGGCUUAACACAUGCAAGUCGAGCGGACGUAGCAAUACGUCAGCGGCAGACGGGUGAGUAACGCGUGGGAACGUACCUUUUGGUUCGGAACAACACAGGGAAACUUGUGCUAAUACCGAAUACGCCCUUACGGGGAAAGAUUUAUCGCCGAAAGAUCGGCCCGCGUCUGAUUAGCUAGUUGGUGGGGUAACGGCCCACCAAGGCGACGAUCAGUAGCUGGUCUGAGAGGAUGAUCAGCCACAUUGGGACUGAGACACGGCCCAAACUCCUACGGGAGGCAGCAGUGGGGAAUAUUGGACAAUGGGCGCAAGCCUGAUCCAGCCAUGCCGCGUGAGUGAUGAAGGCCCUAGGGUUGUAAAGCUCUUUUGUGCGGGAAGAUAAUGACGGUACCGCAAGAAUAAGCCCCGGCUAACUUCGUGCCAGCAGCCGC